rnacentral:lncRNA from 1 species
CCUCGAACAGGAGGUGUUGGGACCCUAUCAUCAUCUUCUUCCAGUUCAUCUUCCAGACCUUGGUGUUGUGUUUUCUUCUUGACCUACUUCAGUCUGGGAGCAUGGAUGGAGAAGUAAUGGUGGACUAGGAAAGUGAAUUCUGUCAUUAAAGGUAAAUAGAGUUGGGGGAAGAGGGGAAACAGCUCCUCAAAUUUGCAAAGAUACUUUUGACAGAAAUAGUUAUAAUACUGAUAACAUGUUCUAAAGUAAUACAUUUUGAGCAGUACUCUAAUACCUGACACGAGGUCAUGCAGACAUGUUUAGGAAUAGUGGUGGGGAGAAGGGAAGAAAGAAAGGUCAUGUUUAAAAUAUUAUACCCUCAGUCACACAUUGUUAUGCCACAUUAUUCAUCAGUCUCCUAAGUACUAUUCUAUUUCUCCAUAUGAUGGUUUAUAUUCUCGGUCCAUUAAGAAAAAAGGAUAAAUUAUAGGCUGUGUCCAUUAAGAAAAAAUGAUAAAUCGUAAGCAGCUAAGUCCAUCAAAUUGAUAUUAAACAUUGAAUUUUACACAUACUCAGAUUAACUUUUUAAGCUGGCACACAAUGUUGUUGAAUUGUUUUUCUCCAACUAUUGUAUUUAAGAAAGGAAGUCCAAUUUAAAGUUAUUUAUUUUCGUAAUCCUGUUUUUUCUUAUUAUCUCAGGCUACAAUGCAUGCAGCACUCUCGCGAAAGUAUUUUUAAGAACAUUUCUCAGCUAUUACUUAAAUUGGGAGCACUAACUUAAAUUGGGUCGUAAAUAAUUGAGACUAAUACUUAGGUAAUGUUUUUCCAGUU